ACCGGGCAUGGUGGUGCAUCCAUGUAAUCCCAGCGGCUUGGGAGGUUGAGGCAGGAGGAUCACGAGUUCAAAGCCAGCCUCAGCAAGGAGGAAUAGCAACUCAGUGAGAUCCUGUCUCUA
rnacentral:sRNA from 1 species